rnacentral:sRNA from 1 species
AUGCGUUAGGGAUAGUAGCGAUUGUUUGAAAUCUUUUUUUGAGCAGGAUUUUUCUUCCUGUUCAAAAAAAAUUGAGUGCGGAUAGCCCGACCAGAG